rnacentral:lncRNA from 1 species
GAAAUAUGUUUGAAAGCUUAUGAGUAUUUGGAAAUAUAAUAAUAUAUGUAUGGCUAAAAAUUGAUUUUGGAGUUGGUGUGGAAAAAAUAUUGGAUCUUACUUUCUACUUUGACAACAAUUCAGACCCCAUUGGCAGAGGUGGUCGCCAGUGAAGCAUGUGUUCAGCAACGAGUUUCUUUGGGAUAUCUAUUCUAUGGCUAAAUAUGAUUUUGUCUCACAUCAUUGGGCUAGAUUUGGUUCCAAUCCUAAUCAUGGGCCUCAUCAUGGCCUUACAUAGUCACAAGGACUAAGAGAGGAAUUAUAUUUUUUGAUUUUUAUAAAAUUGCUUUCUUAAUUGCUUUGAAUUUUUAUAUUAAAAAACUAUCUUUUGCACUUCAAUUUGAAAGGAAUAGUGUGUGACCAAUGGGCAGUGAGUUGAUUUUUGAUUGGGCUGCAAAAAAUUAAAAACUACAUCAAGCUUGAUUGCAUCAAAGAUUUCAAAUUACUGGAUUGAACAGAAGUUUGCUUUGCUUUAUUAC